rnacentral:rRNA from 1 species
UACGAAGGGGGCUAGCGUUGCUCGGAAUCACUGGGCGUAAAGCGCACGUAGGCGGAUUGCUAAGUCAGGGGUGAAAUCCUGGAGCUCAACUCCAGAACUGCCUUUGAUACUGAAGAUCUUGAGUCCGGGAGAGGUGAGUGGAACUGCGAGUGUAGAGGUGAAAUUCGUAGAUAUUCGCAAGAACACCAGUGGCGAAGGCGGCUCACUGGCCCGGUACUGACGCUGAGGUGCGAAAGCGUGGGGAGCAAACAGG